rnacentral:rRNA from 1 species
AUUGAACGCUGGCGGCAGGCUUAACACAUGCAAGUCGAGCGGAGAGAAGUAGCUUGCUACUGAUCUUAGCGGCGGACGGGUGAGUAAUGCUUAGGAAUCUGCCUAUUAGUGGGGGACAACAUUUCGAAAGGAAUGCUAAUACCGCAUACGUCCUACGGGAGAAAGCAGGGGAUCUUCGGGCCUUGCGCUAAUAGAUGAGCCUAAGUCGGAUUAGCUAGUUGGUGGGGUAAAGGCCUACCAAGGCGACGAUCUGUAGCGGGUCUGAGAGGAUGAUCCGCCACACUGGGACUGAGACACGGCCCAGGCUCCUACGGGAGGCAGCAGUGGGGAAUAUUGGACAAUGGGCGGAAGCCUGAUCCAGCCAUGCCGCGUGUGUGAAGAAGGCCUUAUGGUUGUAAAGCACUUUAAGCGAGGAGGAGGCUACUUUAGUUAAUACCUAGAGAUAGUGGACGUUACUCGCAGAAUAAGCACCGGCUAACUCUGUGCCAGCAGCCGCAGUAAUAC